CAGGCUACCACACCAGAUAAGGACAGGUCAGCAUCAGUCCGUUGUGUUUGUGUUCUUCUGUCUGAACUCUGCAUUAACGUCUUAUCAAGAAAUGAAUAUGAAACUUCAGUCUCACUCUCCUCUGGAUGUCAGGUCUCUCGCCCCUGGUCAGAACAGCUGUUUUGCUCCAGAUACAUGGUGGGUCUGCAUUGCUGUGGCGAUGCCUCCAGUUACGCCAGCUGUUCUACUUCCUGAUGUCAACAUCGCUACUGGCUAUCACGAUGAAAACAACAUCGUUUUUAUCAACAUAGUCUGUAAAAUGACAGGAGAGGCCUUGACAGAGGUGAACAUCCUGUGACGAUAAGAACAGAGAGUGACGGAAGCAGAGGAUGAGCCAACAUCUGUCGCCGGGGGCAACAGCCGCCUAAACCUUCCUCAGCGACGCCCAAUCACAACUAGAGAGCCUCGCUGUCAAAAAAAGAAGAAGAGGAAGUUCAGCUCAGUUGCCAUGGUUACUGAGGUAUUUACAAGUAAAACCAGCUGGGAAGAAGUGGCAGUCAGUUGGGUGACCUUUGACCUCUGACUCAUACACUUUUUUCCAACCACAGACACGUUUUCUGAGGAAAACCUUUAAAAAAAAAAGAAAAGAAAGUUGAUAUCCGGAUGACUUGGCAGCUGGCUAAUGUGAAUGUCGGAUUGUCUGUCAUGAGAAGUUACUAAAAUUGUUGGAUGCAGCCCCCCCACCCCUAAAUCUGACGUCAUAAAGGUGUGGGCGGGGAGGAGGAUUCCAAAGCUAUGUGACGUCAGCUCUGUUGGAUAUACUGGCCCCUGAAGAGACUAUAGCCACACUAGCAGCUCUGUGAGGCUGUACUCAUUUCGCUCAAAGCAAAAAAACUAAACCUCUUAAGAAUCAUCAAGCAUGCAGGCAAAAUCCCUAGCACCACUCGAACCCAACAGACCUUUACAGUCAUGCAGUAAAAAGAAAAGCAAACGUCAUCCCUAAGGACCCUUCACAGCCUCUACACCACUCCUCUCAGGCAGCCGCUUCACAGCACCUCUGGCCAAAAAGAAAAAUUACAAAAACAUUUUCAUUGCCUCAGCAAUUUUAUCAUUUUAAACGAGGCCAAAUUAACUGUCACUGCUUUUAUAUGCAGUUUUUGCACACAUGCUUUUAUUUAUUUUUUGGAAAUGUUGGUGUUUUAAUGUUAUGAGCCUUUCAUGAGUCGAUGUUUGUAAGUCGUUUGUGAGCCCCUAACCUCAGACACAUUUCUAUCAUGUAAUAGACAAUGAAGUUACGCAGGUAUAAUGUUUACCUUGUUCACCAUCUUAGCUUAGCACGUUAGAAUGCGUACUUUUGGUAAUUAGCUUUAAACUCAAAGUCCAACUGAGAAUAGAUGAAAAUUCAGAGGAUCAUCAAAGUUAUUAGAAUUCAUCCAGAUGGGAACAUGAAUGUCUGAACCAAAGCAAGAAUGUGAUCAAUAAACUUCAUGACAACAUCAGUAGAUGCUCUGGACCAAAGAGUUUUGAUGCACUGACAUCCCCAUCUAUUUGUGUGUGUGUGUGUGUGUGUGUGUGUGUGUGUGUGUGUGUGUGUGUGUGUGUGUGUGUGUGUGUGUGUGUGUGUGCACGCCAUGUGACAGCCAUGUUGCAUUCAGGCCAGCAUAUGAUUCUGUGAUUCUUGAAGGACAAACGGUAGAAAGAGGUGAACUACAGUCUGUCUUCAGUCAAGUGUUGGAGGUACGUUGGUCACACGACAGGAAGACGUUUGCGGAGCGACAGCACACGCUCAUCAACAAUCGGACUGAUUUGGUCUCUGAUUUAGAUGUCAAGAUUAUCAAGACAAAGGGACAAGCAGUCCGGUCUGGCUCAGCCUCUGUUCAUGAUUCAGUGUGAGAUGUUUAAGGACUCAAAUAAAUCCAUCAAUCAAAUAUUAUUUCAUCAUGUCUUUAAUACAGUACAUGCAAG
rnacentral:lncRNA from 1 species